rnacentral:rRNA from 1 species
CUACCAUGGCUUUCACGGGUAACGGAGGAUUAGGGUUCGAUUCCGGAGAGGGAGCCUGAGAAACGGCUACCACAUCUAAGGAAGGCAGCAGGCGCGUAAAUUACCCAAUCCUGACUCAGGGAGGUAGUGACAAGAAAUAACGGACCGAAGCCUAUGUUUCGGGAUUGCAAUGAGUAGAAUUUAAACCCCUUUACGAGGAUCAAUUGGAGGGCAAGUCUGGUGCCAGCAGCCGCGGUAAUUCCAGCUCCAAUAGCGUAUAUUAAAGUUGUUGCAGUUAAAAAGCUCGUAGUUGGAUUUCUGGGAGAGUGCCAAUGUCGUCUUGUUGACUGUGCAGCGGCGCUCUUCCAUCCUUCUGUUAACGUUUCUGAUAUUCAUUUAUUGGUCUCGGGCUCAGAUAUUUUACCUUGAGAAAAUUAGAGUGUUCCAGGCAGGCUCGCGCCGGAAUACAUUAGCAUGGAAUAAUAGAAUAGGACUUUAGUCUCCUUUGUUGGUUUGAGGGACUGAAGUAAUGAUUAAUAGGGAUAGUUGGGGGCAUUAGUAUUUAAUUGUCAGAGGUGAAAUUCUCGGAUUUGUUAAAGACUAACUUAUGCGAAAGCAUUUGCCAAGGAUGUUUUCAUUAAUCAAGAACGAAAGUUAGGGGAUC